rnacentral:rRNA from 1 species
CGCUUGCUGGGUUGGAUGAGUGGCGAACGGGUGAGUAACACGUGAGUAACCUGCCCCCUUCUUUGGGAUAACGGUCGGAAACGGCUGCUAAUACCGGGUAUUCACUGUCCUUCGCGUGGGGGGUGGUGGAAAGGUUUUUUCUGGUGGGGGAUGGGCUCGCGGCCUAUCAGCUUGUUGGUGGGGUGAUGGCUUACCAAGGCUUUGACGGGUAACCGGCCUGAGAGGGUGACCGGUCACAUUGGGACUGAGAUACGGCCCAG